GGCUCCUGAUUAUUUGUGCCUUGAGUGGGGACCUUUGCUGUAGCAAACCUUGAUGUAAUUUUAAUGAAACCUUGUAGCCUUAAAGGAAAAUACCAUCUUCUCUCUCAAGGGCAAAACAAUUCCAGCUUGUCAGGCACUCAAGAGCCUUAGUCAGCUCAUUACAGGAUGCAGAGCAUAAGGAACAAAAGUGACAGCUGUAAAAAAAAAUGCUGAAGGGGCUGAUUUUUCAACCUUUGCAGGGAACAGAUAGGGUUGUGUGCCCAUUCAUUCUGUGAUAAACAACAGCUGGGAUCUAUCCUGUGAUGCCUACAAGGUCCGAAGGCGGUUAUAUCAGGUCAUGUAUUUGACCAAUCUGUGCUGCUCCAUUACUACCAGAAGAACAACUGCAGCUACGAUCCUCAUCCUCCCAUUUAUUCUUUUCCCAUGAGAUCUAGACAUUUGAAAGGUAGAGGAAGAAAUAAGAGGAUGUGUAAGCAGAGCAGAGAUUAGAAAAUCACUAGGUGGCACUGUUGUUUUGCAAAAAAGUGCCAUAGAACAUCAAUGAUACAACCUGGAGAAAUAUGUGAUUUUUAAGCUCUCGUUCAUUCACAGUAACUUGAACUAAUUUUGCUAUUUUAUGUAAUUAUUGCAGAUGCAGUUCAAAUAACACUCUGCAAACUCUGACAAUUUUAUACUUAAAUAAAGUGAAAUGUGUUUAUCCCCA
rnacentral:lncRNA from 1 species